GUGUGCAUAUUAUUAUAUCUACAUUUGUUUCAGUUGCGUGCUAUUUUAUCUUUGUUUACUGAUUGAUUCUGUGACAGGCACGCGAGAAAUGCUUUCAGAAUCUCCAUUAUGUAGAGCGUCAUGAGGAGCACACAAUUGCACAUGCAAUUCAAGCAUCAUAUAAGAAAACCAAGGUGUCUAAUCAUUUAUCUAGUUUCCUCUCUUUCCUAAAUGCCUCUCCCCACCAAAAUCUUUAUCUUGGCACAACAAUAGCCCGCCCAUUCAACCUUCAACUUGUAUAUUUAUUUCCACAGGUGUAUCUUGCGGUUAUUUUCUUUUCAUCCAGAAAUACUUCUCAGUUGACUGAGCAGUGCUGUCUAAUUAAGUUUAUUGUCGCAUUUGAGUCUACCUAUUUCACUUUGAUACAUUUUAUGUGUUGAAUAAAUGACAAGGACAUACAUUUCUCUGCGUCUCAUUAUAAAAGUGAAAGUAUCUCAUUUAUAUUUCAGGAAGUUUUGAAGCACAGAGAUGCUGCGCAAACAGCUGCCAUUGAGGCAAUCCAAGAAGCUUCAGCUGCAGAGAGUUUACUUCGUUGUUUACGGUACUUUUCCCCGGGGAGCUAGUUCUGGUAAUAAAGGUGAGCUAGUUCUAGUUAUUGCCUUCACAAGUUUUAUAGUUUCAUUGGUUAGUCGGCAUGUGUACAUAAAAAUCUCACAAUAUUUUUGCUUUUACUUUAGUUCUUUCUACAGUGCUUCUGAAAUCUGGAAUUUCUUAGUUGUUAAUAAAGCUUAAACAACCUACAUGGUGUCAAAUAUUAUUCAAAGCAGAUAUAUACAACUCUACUUUCAACAGUGCUUUGUUUGUAGAUCACUUUUGUGAUAAUCAGUGUGAUAUAUGCAGUGGACACCUGUGUCGGCGUGUCUGUGUGUGCGACUGCUAAAGGCACCUUAUUUAGCAGUGUGAAUCAGUUGAUAGGCUUGAAAAUGACUAGUCUGAAAUAUUUUGUUAUGAAUUUUUUUGGCAUUGUAAUUCACGACUAUAAAACUGAUUAGAUUCUCUUAGUCUAACUGGGAUUAGGUCAGGCACCCUACUCUUUUAACUCUUUGAAGCUUGUAUGAUUGCUCCACAUGAUUUAUAUACAUGACCAAAGUUGAGCAUUUGUUGAAUGGGAAACAGUCUAAUUCUGAGAUGAUUUAUUCUUACGCUUUUGCUGCAAAUGCAAUUCGUUGUUUUAACUGUUCAGUUAUUUGUGUCAUGAUACAUUGUUUCACUUUUAUAUGAUACAUUAUAUGAUACACACAAGCUGGAAGGAAAGCAAAAAAAGAAAUUAUUUGGUACUUGUGAAGGUAAUCUUUUUGAAGAGUCUUGAAUCUGGCAUUAAUGUUAGUGUUUUGGUGGUAUUUCUCUAAGGUCGGCUUCAUCUGCAGUGCUUUAAUGGGUGCUGUCCAUGCUGACAACUUCGUACUGUAAAUCUUUUGGGUACUGUAAAGUAUUGUUGAUGAUGUUAUUGCUGAAUUUGCACUAAUUCCAUAAUUUAGUGCAACUGCUCGAUGGCAGGAAGUAAUUUCUGGUGCUUUGUUAGCAAGAAGGUCUGAAGAAAAGUUAUAGUGCAUUUGAAGAUAAUAUUUCUCUAAAGGUGUGUGGACUCUUAGGGCAUGAAACUGUAAUGCUUCCUUUUUUGUUGUUGACAAAGUUCAAUUGUAUUUCCCCACUUUUCAGCUAUAAAUUAACAGGAUUACUAUUGAUUAUCUCAAAAGUGAAUUUGAGAUGUAUGGAUAGUUUGGCAUUAUUGAGAUGUAAACGUAUUGUAUGGUAUUAAUAUUCUUUGUAAUUGGCAUUACAAAGAAUUAUUGGGAUGUAAACGUUUUGUAUGGUAUUAAUAUUCUUUGUAAUUUUAGCUAUAUAUCAUGAUAUUAGCAUAUUGCAGGUGCAUUCGUAAUAUAGGUGAACCACAACUUUUUUUUUUUUUUUUUAAUCUACAACAUUUUUAAAACGUU
rnacentral:lncRNA from 1 species